AGAGUUUGAUCCUGGCUCAGGAUGAACGCUGGCGGCGUGCUUAACACAUGCAAGUCGAGCGAAGCACCUUGACGGAUUUCUUCGGAUUGAAGCCUUGGUGACUGAGCGGCGGACGGGUGAGUAACGCGUGGGUAACCUGCCUCAUACAGGGGGAUAACAGUUGGAAACGGCUGCUAAUACCGCAUAAGCGCACAGUACCGCAUGGUACGGUGUGAAAAACUCCGGUGGUAUGAGAUGGACCCGCGUCUGAUUAGGUAGUUGGUGGGGUAACGGCCUACCAAGCCGACGAUCAGUAGCCGACCUGAGAGGGUGACCGGCCACAUUGGGACUGAGACACGGCCCAAACUCCUACGGGAGGCAGCAGUGGGGAAUAUUGCACAAUGGGGGAAACCCUGAUGCAGCGACGCCGCGUGAGCGAUGAAGUAUUUCGGUAUGUAAAGCUCUAUCAGCAGGGAAGAAAAUGACGGUACCUGACUAAGAAGCCCCGGCUAACUACGUGCCAGCAGCCGCGGUAAUACGUAGGGGGCAAGCGUUAUCCGGAUUUACUGGGUGUAAAGGGAGCGUAGACGGCAUGGCAAGCCAGAUGUGAAAGCCCGGGGCUCAACCCCGGGACUGCAUUUGGAACUGUCAGGCUAGAGUGUCGGAGAGGAAAGCGGAAUUCCUAGUGUAGCGGUGAAAUGCGUAGAUAUUAGGAGGAACACCAGUGGCGAAGGCGGCUUACUGGACGGUAACUGACGUUGAGGCUCGAAAGCGUGGGGAGCAAACAGGAUUAGAUACCCUGGUAGUCCACGCC
rnacentral:rRNA from 1 species